rnacentral:rRNA from 1 species
GUAGGGAAUAUUGCACAAUGGGGGAAACCCUGAUGCAGCGACGCCGCGUGAGUGAUGAAGGCCUUCGGGUCGUAAAGCUCUGUCGUAUGGGACUAACAAAAUGAAGGUACCAUGCAAGAAAGGAUCGGCUAACUUCGUGCCAGCAGCCGCGGUAAGACGAGGGAUCCUAGCGUUGUUCGGAAUUAUUGGGCGUAAAGCGGGUGUAGGCGGGCCUGUCAGUCAGGUGUGAAAUCCCAGGGCUUAACCCUGGAAGUGCACUUGAUACUGCAGGUCUUGAGUGUGGUAGAGGCUAUUAGAAUUCUUGGUGUAGUGGUGAAAUACGUAGAUAUCAAGAGGAAUACCGGAGGCGAAGGCGGAUAGCUGGGCCAACACUGACGCUGAGACCCGAAAGCGUGGGGAUCAAACAGGAUUAGAUACCCCGGUAGUCC